UAGAUACCCUUGUAUUCCAAUAGGAAAGUAGAAUACUUGAGUAGUAAAUAGUUAUAAUCUUUAAACUUAAAGAAUUUGGCAGUAUUUUAGUCUGGUUAGAGGAGUCUGUUCUGUAAACGAUAAAACACGUAAAAUUUUUCUUUCUUUUGUAUAAACAGCUUGUAUACCGUCAUUAUAAAUAGGUUAAAUAAAAGGUUAUUGAAAUAAAUUGAUUAUUUUAAAUAUUAGAUCGAGGUGCCGCUAAUGAGAAAGUGAGAGAUGGACUACAAUAAAAUUAAUUUAUACGGAUUUGAUGAAUGAAAAUAAGUUGUCUUUGAAGGUGGAUUUAAUAGUAAUUAUAUUUAUAAUUUGAUGUAUUGAAUUAGCUCUGAAGUGUGUACAUAUUGCCC
rnacentral:rRNA from 1 species